UACGGGGGGGGCAAGCGUUGUUCGGAAUUACUGGGCGUAAAGGGCUCGUAGGCGGCCAACUAAGUCAUACGUGAAAUCCCUCGGCUUAACCGGGGAACUGCGUCUGAUACUGGAUGGCUUGAGUUCGGGAGAGGGAUGCGGAAUUCCAGGUGUAGCGGUGAAAUGCGUAGAUAUCUGGAGGAACACCGGUGGCGAAGGCGGCAUCCCGGACCGAUACUGACGCUGAGGAGCGAAAGCCAGGGGAGCAAACGGG
rnacentral:rRNA from 1 species